GCUUCCUACGGGAGGCAGCAGUGGGGAAUAUUGGACAAUGGGCGCAAGCCUGAUCCAGCAAUACCGCGUGUGUGAAGAAGGCCUUCGGGUUGUAAAGCACUUUAAGCAGGGAAGAAAAAACUCAAACUAAUAUUUUGAGUCUUGACGGUACCUGAAGAAUAAGCACCGGCUAACUCUGUGCCAGCAGCCGCGGUAAUACAGAGGGUGCAAGCGUUAAUCGGAUUUACUGGGCGUAAAGCGUGUGUAGGUGGUUGGGAAAGUCAAUUGUGAAAGCCCCGGGCUUAACUCGGGAACUGCUUUUGAUACUGUCUGACUAGAAUUCGGUAGAGGGAGGCGGAACUCCAGGUGUAGCGGUGAAAUGCGUAGAUAUCUGGAAGAACACCAAUGGCGAAGGCAACCUCCUGGGCCUGAAUUGACACUGAGACACGAAAGCGUGGGGAUCAAACAGGAUUAGAUACCCUGGUAGUCCACGCCGUAAACGAUGACAACUUGACGUCGGUUUGCUCUGCGAAUCGGUGUCGUAGCUAACGCGAUAAGUUGUCCGCCUGGGGAGUACGGCCGCAAGGUUGAAACUCAAAGGAAUUGACGGAAGC
rnacentral:rRNA from 1 species